AGUGAACGCUGGCGGUAGGCCUAACACAUGCAAGUCGAACGGCAGCACAGUAAGAGCUUGCUCUUACGGGUGGCGAGUGGCGGACGGGUGAGGAAUACAUCGGAUUCUACUUUUUCUUGGGGGAUAACGUAGGGAAACUUCCGCUAAUACCGCAUACGACCUACGGGUGAAAGCAGGGGAUCUUCGGACCUUGCGCGAUUGAUUGAGCCGAUGUCGGAUUAGCUAGUUGGCGGGGUAAAGGCCCACCAAGGCGACGAUCCGUAGCUGGUCUGAGAGGAUGAUCAGCCACACUGGAACUGAGACACGGUCCAGACUCCUACGGGAGGCAGCAGUGGGGAAUAUUGGACAAUGGGCGCAAGCCUGAUCCAGCCAUACCGCGUGGGUGAAGAAGGCCUUCGGGUUGUAAAGCCCUUUUGUUGGGAAAGAAAAGCAGCAGGUUAAUACCCCGCUGUUCUGACGGUACCCAAAGAAUAAGCACCGGCUAACUUCGUG
rnacentral:rRNA from 1 species